rnacentral:rRNA from 1 species
CACUCCUGCGGGAGGCAGCAGUGGGGAAUUUUGGUCAAUGGGCGAAAGCCUGAUCCAGCAAUGCCGCGUGUGUGAAGAAGGCCUUCGGGUUGUAAAGCACUUUUGUCCGGAAAGAAAUCCUUGGCUCUAAUACAGUCGGGGGAUGACGGUACCGGAAGAAUAAGCACCGGCUAACUACGUGCCAGCAGCCGCGGUAAUACGUAGGGUGCGAGCGUUAAUCGGAAUUACUGGGCGUAAAGCGUGCGCAGGCGGUUUGCUAAGACCGAUGUGAAAUCCCCGGGCUCAACCUGGGAACUGCAUUGGUGACUGGCAGGCUAGAGUAUGGCAGAGGGGGGUAGAAUUCCACGUGUAGCAGUGAAAUGCGUAGAGAUGUGGAGGAAUACCGAUGGCGAAGGCAGCCCCCUGGGCCAAUACUGACGCUCAUGCACGAAAGCGUGGGGAGCAAACAGGAUUAGAUACCCGAGUAGUCCCAUGA